UCUUACUCUUUUUUUUCUUGUCCUAAUUUCGCUGUCUCAUUGACAGGCUUCAAGCGUAGGAAUGGUGCACACAAUCUUUCAUUAAUAACUAUGCAAGUUUGUAUUAAUUUCAUGUGAUUUUUUUAUUUUUUAUUAUUUUUAUGAUAGUUAGAUAUCUAUUUGCUUAUGAAUGAUAUCAGAUCUGACCCUCACUUAAACAAAACAUAAGGUAUAACAUUCACAAAACUUAACGUAAGGUAUCCUAUGCUUUCUUGCUUUCUGAGAAAAUUUCAUUUCCAUUCCAUGUGUUUGUCACAGGUUUUUGUUUUGUGUGUCUUUGGGUUAAUAAGGCAACAAAACUAAAGUUUUGAAGGCUGUCUGAGACUGUCAACAACAUCACAUAAUGAUGUUGGUCAUUUUGGAGUAGGAAUUUGUCAUGAUAUAUGCUUCUCUAAAGUUGCUACAUUCCUGUCAAGGUGUGGAUUUUGAGAUUAAGUUGCUCACAAUUGGUGGGAGAAGAUUGAAGCUUACAAUUUGGGACAUAGGCAACUGCUGGAAUUAUUUUGAAUUAUAGUUUCAUUUUAAUCUUUGAUUAAUGAUGCUUUUGGAAGUGAUAGUUUAUGCUAACAUGUAAUCUUUCUCUUCU